AUAGUCCACCUGUAAAACCACCACCGGUGCAAAAGCCUCCGACUCCAACUUAUAGCCCUCCAGUCAAGCCACCUCCCGUUCAAAAACCACCAACACCAAUUUAUAGUCCACCUAUUAAACCACCACCAGUGCAAAAACCUCCGACACCUAUUUAUAGUCCACCAGUUAAACCACCUCCGGUGAAACCUCCAACACCUACUUACAGUCCUCCUAUAAAACCACCACCGGUACAACAACCUCCGACACCAACCUAUAGUCCACCUGUUAAACCACCUCCAGUUAAACCUCCGACACCAACUUACAGUCCGCCUGUCAAACCACCACCUGUGCAAAAACCUCCUACACCUACUUAUAGUCCACCAGUUAAACCACCACCUGUGAAACCUCCAACACCUAUUUAUAGUCCUCCUGUAAAACCACCACCAGUGCAAAAGCCGCCAACACCAACUUACAGUCCUCCUAUCAAACCACCACCCGUGCACAAGCCUCCCCAUAUCAAACCACCACCCGUACAUAAGCCUCCCCAUAUCAGACCACCGCCAGUCCAAAAACCUCCCCAUAUCAAACCACCACCCGUGCAAAAGCCUCCUCAUAUCAAACCACCGCCAGUCCAAAAGCCUCCAACACCAAUUUACAGUCCUCCUAUCAAACCCCCACCUGUGCAAAAGCCU
rnacentral:lncRNA from 1 species